ACAGAUUAUAAAUUGGGAGGGGGGCAAGGGUUCAGAGAGUGAAUAUAUUUAUAAUGGCAUUUUAAAGGUGUUCUUUUCUGAUCUCGAGGGAAUUUCUAAUGUUUGACUGCACAUAAGAGCAAUUAGUAUGUGAAAACAAAGCUAGUGAUUAGACUUGUGCACUGUGAAAAAUGAUUGCCAUAAUAAUGUUUUUUUUUUUUUAAAUUCUUAUUGGGGGGUGGGGCGUGGCCAACUGCCUAACAAGACGGACGCGUUUCUGUGGAGCUCUGUACCAGAGACUGACAAAAUCGAAUAAAAACCCUCAGACGGCUCCCUCAAACAGCAGUACACG